AGUGAACGCUGGCGCUAGGCCUAACACAUGCAAGUCGAACGGCAGCACAGGAGAGCUUGCUCUCUAGGUGGCGAGUGGCGGACGGGUGAGGAAUACAUCGGAAUCUGCCCAGUCGUGGGGGAUAACGUAGGGAAACUUACGCUAAUACCGCAUACGACCUUCGGGUGAGAGAGGGGGAUCGCAAGACCUCUCGCGAUUGGAUGAGCCGAUGUCGGAUUAGCUAGUUAGCGGGGUAAUGGCCCACCAAGGCGACGAUCCGUAGCUGGUCUGAGAGGAUGAUCAGCCACACUGGAACUGAGACACGGUCCAGACUCCUACGGGAGGCAGCAGUGGGGAAUAUUGGACAAUGGGCGCAAGCCUGAUCCAGCCAUACCGCGUGGGUGAAGAAGGCCUUCGGGUUGUAAAGCCCUUUUGUUGGGAAAGAAAUCUUUCAGGCUAAUACCCUGGGAGGAUGACGGUACCCAAAGAAUAAGCACCGGCUAACUUCGUG
rnacentral:rRNA from 1 species